rnacentral:rRNA from 1 species
UAGGGGAAUCUUCGGCAAUGGACGAAAGUCUGACCGAGCAACGCCGCGUGAGUGAAGAAGGUUUUCGGAUCGUAAAACUCUGUUGGUAGAGAAGAACGUUGGUGAGAGUGGAAAGCUCAUCAAGUGACGGUAACUACCCAGAAAGGGACGGCUAACUACGUGCCAA